AAAGGAAUUGACGGGGACCCGCACAAGCGGUGGAGCAUGUGGUUUAAUUCGAAGCAACGCGAAGAACCUUACCAGGUCUUGACAUCCCGACGACCGGCUCGUAAUGGAGCCUUUUCUACGGAACGUUGGAGACAGGUGGUGCAUGGUUGUCGUCAGCUCGUGUCGUGAGAUGUUGGGUUAAGUCCCGCAACGAGCGCAACCCUUGUCCUUAGUAGCCAGCAGGUAAAGCUGGGCACUCUAGGGAGACUGCCAGGGAUAACCUGGAGGAAGGUGGGGAUGACGUCAAAUCAUCAUGCCCCUUAUGAUCUGGGCUACACACGUGCUACAAUGGUGAUAACAAAGGGAAGCGAAAGCGUGAGCUGGAGCAAAUCCCAAAAAAAUCAUCUCAGUUCGGAUUGUAGUCUGCAACUCGACUACAUGAAGCUGGAAUCGCUAGUAAUCGCAAAUCAGAAUGUUGCGGUGAAUACGUUCCCGGGUCUUGUACACACCGCCCGU
rnacentral:rRNA from 1 species